UGCCCUAGUAACGGCGAGUGAAGCGGCAACAGCUCAAAUUUGAAAUCUGGCUCUUUCAGGGUCCGAGUUGUAAUUUGUAGAGGGUGCUUUGGCGUUGACGGUGGUCUAAGUUCCUUGGAACAGGACGUCGCAGAGGGUGAGAAUCCCGUAUGUGGCCGCCAGUCUUCGCCGUGUAAAGCCCCUUCGACGAGUCGAGUUGUUUGGGAAUGCAGCUCUAAAUGGGAGGUAAAUUUCUUCUAAAGCUAAAUAUUGGCCAGAGACCGAUAGCGCACAAGUAGAGUGAUCGAAAGAUGAAAAGCACUUUGGAAAGAGAGUCAAAAAGCACGUGAAAUUGUUGAAAGGGAAGCGCUUGCAGCCAGACUUGCCUGUAGUUGCUCAUCCGGGCUUUCGAGCCCGGUGCACUCUUCUACGGGCAGGCCAGCAUCAGUCCUGGCGGUUGGAUAAAUGUCUGCGCAAUGUACCUCUCCUCGGGGAGGACUUAUAGGUGCAGGCGGCAUACAACCAGCCGGGAUUGAGGUCCGCGCAUCUGCUAGGAUGCUGGCGUAAUGGCUGUAAGCGGCCCGUCUUGAAACACGGACCAAGGAGUCUAACAUCUAUGCGAGUGUUUGGGUGUCAAGCCCGAGCGCGUAAUGAAAGUGAACGGAGGUGGGAACCCCUCGGGGUGCACCAUCGACCGAUCCUGAUGUCUUCGGAUGGAUUUGAGUAAGAGCAUAGCUGUUGGGACCCGAAAGAUGGUGAACUAUGCCUGAAUAGGGUGAAGCCAGAGGAAACUCUGGUGGAGGCUCGCAGCGGUUCUGACGUGCAAAUCGAUCGUCAAAUUUGGGCAUAGGGGCGAAAGACUAAUCGAACUAUCUAGUAGCUGGUUCCUGCCGAAGUUUCCCUCAGGAUAGCAGUAACGUUUUCAGUUUUAUGAGGUAAAGCGAAUGAUUAGAGGCCUGGGGGUUGAAACAACCUUCACCUAUUCUCAAACUUUAAAUAUGUAAGAAGUCCUUGUUACUUAAUUGAACGUGGACAUUUGAAUGUACCGUUACUAGUGGGCCAUUUUUGGUAAGCAGAACUGGCGAUGCGGGAUGAACCGAACGCGGGGUUAAGGUGCCAGAAUGCACGCUCAUCAGACACCACAAAAGGUGUUAGUUCAUCUAGACAGCAGGACGGUGGCCAUGGAAGUCGGAAUCCGCUAAGGAGUGUGUAACAACUCACCUGCCGAAUGAACUAGCCCUGAAAAUGGAUGGCGCUCAAGCGUGCUACCCAUACCCCGCCGCCAGGGCAGAAAUUAUGCCCUGGCGAGUAGGCAGGCGUGGGGG
rnacentral:rRNA from 1 species